rnacentral:lncRNA from 1 species
AUAAAAGACUUCCAACCAGAUUGGCUCAGAAUCUGAGAAGGUGGGGGGAUCGGGGGGGGGGGGGGGGGAAGAAAAAGAAAAAAAAAAAUCUUGAAAAAUUCAGAUUUUUUUUUAAAAAUAUUUAUUUAUUUAUUUAUUUUAGGAGAGCUCUGUUUUAAAUACCAACAUUUUCACCUUGAUUUCAUUUUGUUUGGUUUCUGAGUGUGAUGACAAUUUCCUCCUUCACUACACAUUAAACAUAGACGGCCUAACCUGAUGAGAUCUCUUCCUACUAUAUCUUGUAAAUGACUUUUCUAUGGAUUCAUCUCUAUUCAGAGGUUUGAAAUGCAAUUAUCUCACCUUACGCCUAAAGGUAGUCUCUUUCAACCACAGGUGAAAAAUAACCCAUAUGGAUCAUGCCUUGAAACUGACCACCUCAAAAUGUCAUUUAAAGGCUGAUGCAAUACACAUAGAAGUCAACGGAAGGUUAUCAAGACUUACAGGAAUAAUUUGACACAGCUAAACACCUGCUUUGUCUUCAAAGAUAUAUACCUGAAUUUGUUGUCUAUAGAUUGCUUCCACUUCACUUCCAAUACACAUGAAAUGAGAAAAGGAGGAAAAAAGGAAAGUUUAAAACUGCCAGCAGUGACAUUCAACACUUGGAGGUAUGUUUUGUUUUUCCUUAUAUGUUGCUUGGGUGCCAGAGGGAGGCAGAUGUGAGGGAUGGGACACAAAGCUUAGGGAAUUUCCUUUCUUGUGAAGGGUAGUAGACCCAUAUGGCCCAUACGACCCAAUCUCCAGUGGCCUGGGGGAGAUCCAAGGAAGAAGUAGCCUUCCCAGUGGGUCACUCCGCACUGGGAGUGAAUCUCCCAGUG